GUGAUUUAAGCCAAUCAGUGAGCACCUUUGGAGGGGAGUGUAGGAUUAAUUCCACUCGAAAUGAUAGGGUUGACAAAAGGGGAGAAGUGAUUUCAUAAAAGAGAUCUGGAAUAGUGUCUGGAAGGGAAAUGGAUGCUAGGCAGCCAGUACAUAAUAACUGUCAAUGAGAAUAAUCAAACAUUCAUUUAUGGAGUACCCAACUGUGUGUUGGCCUUGGUUCUGAACAUUUUACACAUAUCAAUUCUCUUAGUGCUCAUGAACACCCUACAAGAUACUACAAUGUUUUCUAUCCCUACGAAAAGACAACAGAGGUCAAAGAGAUCAAGUGUUAACCUUGUUGGAGGGACCGGUUAUUCACAGACGAGAAGGUAAAACAUUGGACAGGGCAUUCGUGCCGGACAGUACUGUGCUAUGAUGGGA
rnacentral:lncRNA from 1 species